rnacentral:misc_RNA from 1 species
GGUAUUCGGAAUCUAAUGUAAAUAAAUUACUUGCUCUAGUCGGUUUGCUUAAUUCAGUUCGGUAAUGCCGAUGAGAAGAAGAGAACUAUUGCAGAAGGGGGCGAAACUAUGGAAAAAGAGCAUCACUAUGCAUAUAUGUCCUGGGUGUAUUUGGGAAUAUUGGUUACAAUAUUCAAUUAUUACUCCGCCACAGCGCGCAAAAUUGUUUACAGAAUCUCAAACCUAUCAAAAUCAGUUGUUUCGAAAUUGUUCCUUAACAAAUUUCAAGAAGAAGAGAUAAUUAGAUAUAUAGAACUAGCAACGGAGAAACUGCUUAUUUUCAUCUACCACACUGCCAGAUAUCUCUUAGACUUCAGUACCAACGUCUGUUUCGGAAUAGUAAUUAUUCUCUUAAUAGUAAAGCAUUCUUUGCGAGGCUACACCGCCCAGGAUUGGAAAUAUUAUUCCACGGCUUUGUUCUGAAAUGGGGAAGGUCCACAGAGAAAUUAAAACCUCAUUUAUAUGAGUCUACAUCAAAGCAGAUAUGGCAAAGUUGAAUAUAUUGCAGAUAUGAUCUCAGAUGUAAUUAGACGAACAUUAUCAGAUUGAAAGCCAGAAAAUAGUAGAUAGCAAGAUAAGGUUUUGUGGAAUCUGAUAUGGAAUUAAUUACAUCAAAAUAGAAUUAGAAUAUUUAAUAUUAAUAGGAAUUGUAUAUAGAAUACGAAAUAAAGACUGACUUUUGUAACUA